rnacentral:tRNA from 1 species
GCAGUGGUGGUUCAGUAGAAGAAUUCUUGCCUUCCAUGCAGGAGACCCAGGUUCAAUUCCUGGCCAGUGCA